rnacentral:rRNA from 1 species
UGGUGGAGCGAUUUGUCUGGUUUAUUCCGUUAACGAACGAGACCACGACCUGCUAAAUAGUCCGACCUAGGGCUCGCUCUAGGCUCGCUCGACUUCUUAGAGGGACUAUCGGUGUGUAGCCGAUGGAAGUUCGUGGCAAUAACA